CUGAUGUUAGCGGCGGACGGGUGAGUAACACGUGGGUAACCUACCUAUAAGACUGGGAUAACUCCGGGAAACCGGGGCUAAUACCGGAUAAUAUUUUGAACCGCAUGGUUCAAUAGUGAAAGACGGUUUCGGCUGUCACUUAUAGAUGGACCCGCGCCGUAUUAGCUAGUUGGUAAGGUAACGGCUUACCAAGGCGACGAUACGUAGCCGACCUGAGAGGGUGAUCGGCCACACUGGAACUGAGACACGGUCCAG
rnacentral:rRNA from 1 species